rnacentral:rRNA from 1 species
UACGAAGGGGGGCUAGCGUUGUUCGGAAUCACUGGGCGUAAAGCGCACGUAGGCGGAUCUUUAAGUUAGAGGUGAAAUCCCAAGGCUCAACCUUGGAACUGCCUUUGAUACUGGGGGAUCUUGAGUUCGGGAGAGGUGAGUGGAACUGCGAGUGUAGAGGUGAAAUUCGUAGAUAUUCGCAAGAACACCAGUGGCGAAGGCGGCUCACUGGCCCGAUACUGACGCUGAGGCACGAAAGCGUGGGGAGCAAACAGG